rnacentral:rRNA from 1 species
UACGAAGGGGGGCUAGCGUUGCUCGGAAUUACUGGGCGUAAAGCGCACGUAGGCGGAUUGUUAAGUCGGGGGUGAAAUCCUGGAGCUCAACUCCAGAACUGCCUUCGAUACUGGCGAUCUCGAGUUCGGGAGAGGUGAGUGGAACUGCGAGUGUAGAGGUGAAAUUCGUAGAUAUUCGGAAGAACACCAGUGGCGAAGGCGGCUCACUGGCCCGGUACUGACGCUGAUGUGCGAAAGCGUGGGGGAGCAAAACAGG